GAAAUGCGAUAAGUAGUGUGAAUUGCAGAAUUCAGUGAAUCAUCGAAUCUUUGAACGCACAUUGCGCCCCUUGGUAUUCCAUGGGGCAUGCCUGUUCGAGCGUCAUUUGUACCCUCAAGCUCUGCUUGGUGUUGGGUGUUUGUCCCCGUCUCCGCGCGUGGACUCGCCCCAAAGUGAUUGGCAGCCGGCGUACUGGUCCCGGAGCGCAGCACAUGUCGCGCAAACGAGUGCCUUGGUACGGCGGCGUCCAUAAGCCCCUCUCUCACGCUCUUGACCUUGGAUCAGGUAGGGAUACCCGCUGAACUUAAGC
rnacentral:misc_RNA from 1 species